rnacentral:rRNA from 1 species
GACGAACGCUGGCGGCGUGCUUAACACAUGCAAGUCGAACGGAAAGGCCCUGCUUUUGUGGGGUGCUCGAGUGGCGAACGGGUGAGUAACAUGUGAGUAACCUGCCCUUGACUUUGGGAUAACUUCAGGAAACUGGGGCUAAUACCGGCUAGGAGCUCCUGCUGCAUGGUGGGGGUUGGAAAGUUUCGGCGGUUGGGGAUGGACUCGCGGCUUAUCAGCUUGUUGGUGGGGUAGUGGCUUACCAAGGCUUUGACGGGUAGCCGGCCUGAGAGGGUGACCGGCGACAUUGGUACUGAGAGACGGCGCAGACUCCAACGUGAGACAGCAGUGGAGAGUAUUGCACAGUGGUGUGAAGCCUGAUGCAGCAACGCCGCGUGCGGGAUGACGGCCUUCGUGUUGUAAACCGCUUUCGCCUGUGACGAAGCGUGAGUGACGGUAAUGGGUAAAGAAGCACCGGCUAACUACGUG